rnacentral:tRNA from 1 species
GUGACUAUAGCUCAACUGGUUAGAGCACCGGACUGUGGCUCCGGGGGUUGCGGGUUCAAGUCCCGUUAGUCACCCCU